rnacentral:rRNA from 1 species
UGGGGAAUUUUGGACAAUGGGGGCAACCCUGAUCCAGCCAUGCCGCGUGCGGGAAGAAGGCCUUCGGGUUGUAAACCGCUUUUGGUCGGGAAGAAAAGGCGCCACCUAAUACGGGGCGUUCUUGACGGUACCGGCAGAAUAAGCACCGGCUAACUACGUGCCAGCAGCCGCGGUAAUACGUAGGGUGCGAGCGUUAAUCGGAAUUACUGGGCGUAAAGCGUGCGCAGGCGGUUUGUUAAGUCUGAUGUGAAAGCCCCGGGCUCAACCUGGGAAUGGCAUUGGAAACUGGCAAGCUCGAGUAUGGCAGAGGGGGGUGGAAUUCCGCGUGUAGCAGUGAAAUGCGUAGAGAUGCGGAGGAACACCGAUGGCGAAGGCAGCCCCCUGGGCCAAUACUGACGCUCAGGCACGAAAGCGUGGGGAGCAAACAGGAUUAGAUACCCCCGUAGUCC